rnacentral:rRNA from 1 species
AUGUGGCAAAUAGAUCAGGUGGAAGUGAUUGACCUUGUUCUUCUCUGGCAACAAGACGAUGAGGGUAGCGGUGGGCUCGACGCAGUUACCUGCUAUAAGCGCAUAGAGCUGGUGAACGACGACAACAAGCUCAUCUUUGAUGAUCUCCCAAGCGAGCUGUUAAAACCACUCUACGAGGGCUGGCGGCAUGACACAGCCCAUGAUGGACAAAUAGUCUGCGGGCAUUUACUCUUUAUCCUCAUGGGUCAAGGCAACACCACUGUCACGGGCAAUGCCGACCACGUGAUUUUUGGAGUGGCGAUGGCACACAUGGAUGUAGAAGUAGUGUCAGGACACCCAAACGUUGUGGCCAAGGUGCGACAACACAUGCUAGGCAUCGGCAACCGCCUGGUGGAAGCCAUCAAAAUUUGGCCAGAUAUCCUUGAAGUGGAACCGGUGAGCCCUAGGCAUCAGAAUCGCGGUGUACAGGAUGAAUCUACUGCCAUGGAGGAUCCCGCGCCGAAAAGAUUAACUAGUAGGCUUGGCGCCAUAGGGCGGUCGGGUCAUCGGGGUGAGCAGCGGCAGGCAAAGUUGGGCUUGGCCAUGAUGCUGCUGAUGGGAAGCCGGUCCGCCGGCGCUUGUGCCUGCCAACCAAUGCUACCGAUCACUGCUCACCGGCCGUCGUCCUUCAGCUCCAAUCUAGGCUACCGAUCACUGCACAUCUUUGCCCUCGCCAUCUUCUCCACCCAAUCGGACGGAGAAGGGAAGGGGAAGGAUCUUGAGGAAGAGUUAAGAACAAGAUUGAAUUGGCAUGGUCAUGGCACUCAUACAAUGCCUUGGUGCACCCCCUUCUCGUUGCUUGCAAAGGCAGAUCCCACAACCUCACACAUGCCACUAAUAAAGCUUCUUUUCCGAACUGGCUUUGACAAGGCGGAACUCAAGGGCUGUACGGCAGUCAUCCAUGUCAGCGUGUACCAGACAAUCAAAGAAACUUGCUUGUGUGGAAGUGUGCUGCUGCUGCAAGUUCCUGACUGUGCACAGUACUUCAUGGACAAUCUGGACCGAUUAGCUGAAGCAGAUUACGUACCAACAAAGUCUAUGCUGAAAAUAGUGAACAUGCAUGCUAAUCAAAUAUAUAGUUGGGCAAAGCAUCUUCUUAUGAUGCCACUCGGCAGCCUCUUUGGGCUAGCCUUGCCUGUGACGAAAGCCUCCGCGGCAGGAAACUGA